rnacentral:rRNA from 1 species
UCAGGACGAACGCUGGCGGCGUGCUUAACACAUGCAAGUCGAACGAUGAACCAGGAGCUUGCUCUUGGGGAUUAGUGGCGAACGGGUGAGUAACACGUGAGUAACCUGCCCUUGACUCUGGGAUAACCUCCGGAAACGGAAGCUAAUACCGGAUAUGACGCACGGAGGCAUCUCCUGUGCGUGGAAAGAAUUUCGGUCAAGGAUGGACUCGCGGCCUAUCAGGUAGUUGGUGAGGUAACGGCCCACCAAGCCUACGACGGGUAGCCGGCCUGAGAGGGUGACCGGCCACACUGGGACUGAGACACGGCCCAGACUCCUACGGGAGGCAGCAGUGGGGAAUAUUGCACAAUGGGCGCAAGCCUGAUGCAGCAACGCCGCGUGAGGGACGACGGCCUUCGGGUUGUAAACCUCUUUUAGUAGGGAAGAAGCGAAAGUGACG